CCAGACUCCUACGGGAGGCAGCAGUGGGGAAUAUUGCACAAUGGGGGAAACCCUGAUGCAGCGACGCCGCGUGAGUGAAGAAGUAAUUCGUUACGUAAAGCUCUAUCAGCAGGGAAGAGAGUGACGGUACCUGAGUAAGAAGCCCCGGCUAACUACGUGCCAGCAGCCGCGGUAAUACGUAGGGGGCAAGCGUUAUCCGGAUUUAUUGGGUUUAAAGGGUGCGCAGGCGGCACGGCAAGCCGGCGGUCAAAUCGCGGGGCUCAACCCCGCCCAGCCGUCGGAACUGCCGGGCUAGAGUGGGCGAGAAGUGCGCGGAAUGCGUGGUGUAGCGGUGAAAUGCAUAGAUAUCACGCAGAACUCCGAUUGCGAAGGCAGCAUACCGGCGCCCAACUGACGCUGAAGCACGAAAGCGUGGGUAUCGAACAGGAUUAGAUACCCCAGUA
rnacentral:rRNA from 1 species